GACGAACGCUGGCGGCGUGCUUAACACAUGCAAGUCGAACGGAAAGGCCCCUUUGGGGGUACUCGAGUGGCGAACGGGUGAGUAACACGUGAGUAACCUGCCCUUGACUUCGGGAUAACUUCAGGAAACUGGGGCUAAUACCGGAUAGGAAUCCUUGCUGCAUGGUGGGAGUUGGAAAGCUUCGGCGGUUUUGGAUGGACUCGCGGCUUAUCAGCUUGUUGGUGGGGUAGUGGCUUACCAAGGCUUUGACGGGUAGCCGGCCUGAGAGGGCGACCGGCCACAUUGGGACUGAGAUACGGCCCAGACUCCUACGGGAGGCAGCAGUGGGGAAUAUUGCACAAGGGGCGGAAGCCUGAUGCAGCAACGCCGCGUGCGGGAUGACGGCCUUCGGGUUGUAAACCGCUUUCAGCAGGGGCGAAGCUUGUGGUGACGGUACCUGCAGAAGAAGCACCGGCUAACUACGUG
rnacentral:rRNA from 1 species